AUGAUGAAUCGAACCUUCACCAUCAUCAGUCUUCACUUUGCCGACUUCCUGAGCCACGACUGGCUUUCCUGGUUCACGGUGAAACUGGUUCCUCUCCUCCCCAGCUUGACUGCAGAGAUGCUCCACACAGUAACAUCAAACACAGACUGCAACGCAUACCACGUCAUCGUUGUGGCUCUGAGCAGCGUCUUUGACCAGAUGACUUCGCUGAGACAGCAGGAGCUCGCCCCAGUCCUGUUGGGCUACCUGAAGCAGAGACACGCCUCGGGUAGGUCCAGUGAAGGUGGUGCUUUUUUGUGUCGUGUGCCUAAGAGAAAAAGGCCUGUGGUGCCCUGGCUCUAUGAAUGUCUGCGUCUCCUAAUGAGUGUUUCCCGUGCAUCAUCGUUGCAGGCUCACCUUGUGGGUCCGACACAAGCAGCCUCAGUGCUUGGUUUGAGGAGAGCUUUGGCAAAUUCUCCAUCUAUGUGGAUUACAACGACCUCCGUGAGAUCAAUGCCGGCUUCGACAGCGUAAGGAGCCCCGCCGCGCUAAACAAUUGCUCCCAUGACUGUGGAGGGCAACCAUGUCAUUUGUUAAAAUGGUGUUGUUUUCUCUUUUGCAGUUUGAGUCUUUGGACCUUCUGAGCGCUUCUCAAGUUGCUCAGCUGACACUACACUCUGGAGCGCUGAACAACGCACACCUGAUAGAAAUGGUCUUUGACCGUCUAGAGGGCGGCAACUCUUUCCAGGAUAUCGAAGAGUUCUUGGAGGCUCUCUCCCGGACCUCACAGGUGUGGCCUCAUCACUAAGAUGGCAAAUGUUCUGGGGACGCACAGGAAGAAAUCCCAUUCAAACCAUAGUUUUUGACAUGAUUUUUAAAAGUAAAAAUGGAUUUUUAUUUGUCGUUUCCUCUAGGAUUUGGACAUCAAUCCUGUGGUGAGGGACAUCAUGAUGAAUCGAACCUUCACCAUCAUCAGUCUUCACUUUGCCGACUUCCUGAGCCACGACUGGCUUUCCUGGUUCACGGUGAAACUGGUUCCUCUCCUCCCCAGCUUGACUGCAGAGAUGCUCCACACAGUAACAUCAAACACAGACUGCAACGCAUACCACGUCAUGUACGUAGCUCUCCCCAAAUGCCAGACAGCACUGCAACACGUGUCUUAUAGCACUCUCUGAGAGAAGGAGAGGACAUUUCUACAGAAUGUUUAGUGAGUGUUGAGAAGCCGCGCUAAAGAGGCGUCAUCCUUACCUUUUCUUUUGAUCUGUCCACUAUAGCGUUGUGGCUCUGAGCAGCGUCUUUGACCAGAUGACUUCGCUGAGACAGCAGGAGCUCGCCCCAGUCCUGUUGGGCUACCUGAAGCAGAGACACGCCUCGGGUAGGUCCAGUGAAGGUGGUGCUUUUUUGUGUCGUGUGCCUAAGAGAAAAAGGCCUGUGGUGCCCUGGCUCUAUGAAUGUCUGCGUCUCCUAAUGAGUGUUUCCCGUGCAUCAUCGUUGCAGGCUCACCUUGUGGGUCCGACACAAGCAGCCUCAGUGCUUGGUUUGAGGAGAGCUUUGGCAAAUUCUCCAUCUAUGUGGAUUACAACGACCUCCGUGAGAUCAAUGCCGGCUUCGACAGCGUAAGGAGCCCCGCCGCGCUAAACAAUUGCUCCCAUGACUGUGGAGGGCAACCAUGUCAUUUGUUAAAAUGGUGUUGUUUUUCUCUUUUGCAGUUUGAGUCUUUGGACCUUCUGAGCGCUUCUCAAGUUGCUCAGCUGACACUACACUCUGGAGCGCUGAACAACGCACACCUGAUAGAAAUGGUCUUUGACCGUCUAGAGGGCGGCAACUCUUUCCAGGAUAUCGAAGAGUUCUUGGAGGCUCUCUCCCGGACCUCACAGGUGUGUCCUCAUCACUAAGAUGGCAAAUGUUCUGGGGGACGCACAGGAAGAAAUCCCAUUCAAAACAUAGUUUUGACAUGAUUUUAAAAGUAAAAAUGGAUUUUUAUUUGUCGUUUCCUCUAGGAUUUGGACAUCAAUCCUGUGGUGAGGGACAUCAUGAUGAAUCGAACCUUCACCAUCAUCAGUCUUCACUUUGCCGACUUCCUGAGCCACGACUGGCUUUCCUGGUUCACGGUGAAACUGGUUCCUCUCCUCCCCAGCUUGACUGCAGAGAUGCUCCACACAGUAACAUCAAACACAGACUGCAACGCAUACCACGUCAUGUACGUAGCUCUCCCCAAAUGCCAGACAGCACUGCAACACGUGUCUUAUAGCACUCUCUGAGAGAAGGAGAGGACAUUUCUACAGAAUGUUUAGUGAGUGUUGAGAAGCCGCGCUAAAGAGGCGUCAUCCUUACCUUUUCUUUUGAUCUGUCCACUAUAGCGUUGUGGCUCUGAGCAGCGUCUUUGACCAGAUGACUUUCGCUGAGACAGCAGGAGCUCGCCCCAGUCCUGUUGGGCUACCUGAAGCAGAGACACGCCUCGGGUAGGUCCAGUGAAGGUGGUGCUUUUUUGUGUCGUGUGCCUAAGAGAAAAAGGCCUGUGGUGCCCUGGCUCUAUGAAUGUCUGCGUCUCCUAAUGAGUGUUUCCCGUGCAUCAUCGUUGCAGGCUCACCUUGUGGGUCCGACACAAGCAGCCUCAGUGCUUGGUUUGAGGAGAGCUUUGGCAAAUUCUCCAUCUAUGUGGAUUACAACGACCUCCGUGAGAUCAAUGCCGGCUUCGACAGCGUAAGGAGCCCCGCCGCGCUAAACAAUUGCUCCCAUGACUGUGGAGGGCAACCAUGUCAUGUGUUAAAAAUGGUGUUGUUUUUCUCUUUUGCAGUUUGAGUCUUUGGACCUUCUGAGCGCUUCUCAAGUUGCUCAGCUGACACUACACUCUGGAGCGCUGAACAACGCACACCUGAUAGAAAUGGUCUUUGACCGUCUAGAGGGCGGCAACUCUUUCCAGGAUAUCGAAGAGUUCUUGGAGGCUCUCUCCCGGACCUCACAGGUGUGUCCUCAUCACUAAGAUGGCAAAUGUUCUGGGGACGCACAGGAAGAAAUCCCAUUCAAACCAUAGUUUUGACAUGAUUUUAAAAGUAAAAAUGGAUUUUUAUUUGUCGUUUCCUCUAGGAUUUGGACAUCAAUCCUGUGGUGAGGGACAUCAUGAUGAAUCGAACCUUCACCAUCAUCAGUCUUCACUUUGCCGACUUCCUGAGCCACGACUGGCUUUCCUGGUUCACGGUGAAACUGGUUCCUCUCCUCCCCAGCUUGACUGCAGAGAUGCUCCACACAGUAACAUCAAACACAGACUGCAACGCAUACCACGUCAUGUACGUAGCUCUCCCCAAAUGCCAGACAGCACUGCAACACGUGUCUUAUAGCACUCUCUGAGAGAAGGAGAGGACAUUUCUACAGAAUGUUUAGUGAGUGUUGAGAAGCCGCGCUAAAGAGGCGUCAUCCUUACCUUUUCUUUUUGAUCUGUCCACUAUAGCGUUGUGGCUCUGAGCAGCGUCUUUGACCAGAUGACUUCGCUGAGACAGCAGGAGCUCGCCCCAGUCCUGUUGGGCUACCUGAAGCAGAGACACGCCUCGGGUAGGUCCAGUGAAGGUGGUGCUUUUUUUGUGUCGUGUGCCUAAGAGAAAAGGCCUGUGGUGCCCUGGCUCUAUGAAUGUCUGCGUCUCCUAAUGAGUGUUUCCCGUGCAUCAUCGUUGCAGGCUCACCUUGUGGGUCCGACACAAGCAGCCUCAGUGCUUGGUUUGAGGAGAGCUUUGGCAAAUUCUCCAUCUAUGUGGAUUACAACGACCUCCGUGAGAUCAAUGCCGGCUUCGACAGCGUAAGGAGCCCCGCCGCGCUAAACAAUUGCUCCCAUGACUGUGGAGGGCAACCAUGUCAUUUGUUAAAAUGGUGUUGUUUUCUCUUUUGCAGUUUGAGUCUUUGGACCUUCUGAGCGCUUCUCAAGUUGCUCAGCUGACACUACACUCUGGAGCGCUGAACAACGCACACCUGAUAGAAAUGGUCUUUGACCGUCUAGAGGGCGGCAACUCUUUCCAGGAUAUCGAAGAGUUCUUGGAGGCUCUCUCCCGGACCUCACAGGUGUGGCCUCAUCACUAAGAUGGCAAAUGUUCUGGGGACGCAGAGGAAGAAAUCCCAUUCAAACCAUAGUUUUGACAUGAUUUUAAAAGUAAAAAUGGAUUUUUAUUUGUCGUUUCCUCUAGGAUUUGGACAUCAAUCCUGUGGUGAGGGACAUCAUGAUGAAUCGAACCUUCACCAUCAUCAGUCUUCACUUUGCCGACUUCCUGAGCCACGACUGGCUUUCCUGGUUCACGGUGAAACUGGUUCCUCUCCUCCCCAGCUUGACUGCAGAGAUGCUCCACACAGUAACAUCAAACACAGACUGCAACGCAUACCACGUCAUGUACGUAGCUCUCCCCAAAUGCCAGACAGCACUGCAACACGUGUCUUAUAGCACUCUCUGAGAGAAGGAGAGGACAUUUCUACAGAAUGUUUAGUGAGUGUUGAGAAGCCGCGCUAAAGAGGCGUCAUCCUUACCUUUUCUUUUGAUCUGUCCACUAUAGCGUUGUGGCUCUGAGCAGCGUCUUUGACCAGAUGACUUCGCUGAGACAGCAGGAGCUCGCCCCAGUCCUGUUGGGCUACCUGAAGCAGAGACACGCCUCGGGUAGGUCCAGUGAAGGUGGUGCUUUUUUUGUGUCGUGUGCCUAAGAGAAAAAGGCCUGUGGUGCCCUGGCUCUAUGAAUGUCUGCGUCUCCUAAUGAGUGUUUUUUUCCCGUGCAUCAUCGUUGCAGGCUCACCUUGUGGGUCCGACACAAGCAGCCUCAGUGCUUGGUUUGAGGAGAGCUUUGGCAAAUUCUCCAUCUAUGUGGAUUACAACGACCUCCGUGAGAUCAAUGCCGGCUUCGACAGCGUAAGGAGCCCCGCCGCGCUAAACAAUUGCUCCCAUGACUGUGGAGGGCAACCAUGUCAUUUGUUAAAAUGGUGUUGUUUUUCUCUUUUGCAGUUUGAGUCUUUGGACCUUCUGAGCGCUUCUCAAGUUGCUCAGCUGACACUACACUCUGGAGCGCUGAACAACGCACACCUGAUAGAAAUGGUCUUUGACCGUCUAGAGGGCGGCAACUCUUUCCAGGAUAUCGAAGAGUUCUUGGAGGCUCUCUCCCGGACCUCACAGGUGUGUCCUCAUCACUAAGAUGGCAAAU
ensembl:lncRNA